UUUACACACAGCAGACACACACUGAGCUUCUUUAACUAAUAAACACUUCUCCGGUUCUGUUUUGGAGAUCGUCUGAAGCAUUCGGAAUGACAGAUUAACCAAAAACCGAAAGAAAGAGAGAGAGAGAGAGAGAGAGAGAGGGGAUGAAACCUCGCCCGCCUCACCACCCCACUGAGAGUCUGAGAGGGAAAGCAGCGCUCGCUCACCCGCUCUCUCAAAUCCUGCUCUCAGGAGGGGUCGCCACGGAGACAGAGGAACAGAGGAUGAAAAGAAUGUGGACUUUUGAGGUGGUGUGUGUCACUGUGUGUGUGUGUGUGUGUGUGCGCUAGUGUGUG
rnacentral:lncRNA from 1 species